rnacentral:rRNA from 1 species
GAUGAACGCUGGCGGCGUGCCUAAUACAUGCAAGUCGAGCGAACAGAUGAGGAGCUUGCUCCUCUGACGUUAGCGGCGGACGGGUGAGUAACACGUGGAUAACCUACCUAUAAGACUGGGAUAACUUCGGGAAACCGGAGCUAAUACCGGAUAAUAUAUUGAACCGCAUGGUUCAAUAGUGAAAGACGGUUUUGCUGUCACUUAUAGAUGGAUCCGCGCCGCAUUAGCUAGUUGGUAAGGUAACGGCUUACCAAGGCAACGAUGCGUAGCCGACCUGAGAGGGUGAUCGCCCACACUGGAACGGAGACACGGUCCAGACUCCUACGGGAGGCAGCAGUAGGGAAUCUUCCGCAAUGGGCGAAAGCUUGACGGAGCAACGCCGCGUGAGUUAUGAAGGUCUUCGGAUCGUAAAACUCUGUUAUUAGGGAAGAACAAAUGUGUAAGUAACUAUGCACGUCUUGACGGUACCUAAUCAGAAAGCCACGGCUAACUACGUG